rnacentral:misc_RNA from 1 species
GAUGAAGAACGCAGCGAAUUGCGAUACGUAAUGUGAAUUGCAGAAUUCAGUGAAUCAUCGAAUCUUUGAACGCACCUUGCACCCUUUGGUAUUCCGAAGGGUAUGCCCGUUUGAGUGUCAUUGUAAUCUCACACCUAAUGUCUUUUGCGAGGCAGAGGGAAAGUGGACUUGGGAGUUGCAGUGUUGAAGCUGCUCGCCCUAAAUGUAUUAGCGGACCCUUAACUUGUGCCGUAGUCGGUGUGAUAAUUGUCUUCACCGCUGCAUUUGCAACGUCCAAGUCUAGUGGUAGGCUUCAAAUUGUCUUAGGACAUUAUUGACAACUUGACCUCAAAUCGGGUAGGACUACCCGCUGAACUUAAGCAUAUCAAUAAGCGGAGGA